AGUGAACGCUGGCGGUAGGCCUAACACAUGCAAGUCGAACGGCAGCACAGUAAGAGCUUGCUCUUACGGGUGGCGAGUGGCGGACGGGUGAGGAAUACAUCGGAAUCUACUUUUUCGUGGGGGAUAACGUAGGGAAACUUACGCUAAUACCGCAUACGACCUACGGGUGAAAGCAGUGGAUCUUCGGACCUUGCGCGAUUGAAUGAGCCGAUGGCGGAUUAGCUAGUUGGCGGGGUAAAGGCCCACCAAGGCGACGAUCCGUAGCUGGUCUGAGAGGAUGAUCAGCCACACUGGAACUGAGACACGGUCCAGACUCCUACGGGAGGCAGCAGUGGGGAAUAUUGGACAAUGGGCGCAAGCCUGAUCCAGCCAUACCGCGUGGGUGAAGAAGGCCUUCGGGUUGUAAAGCCCUUUUGUUGGGAAAGAAAAGCAGCAGGUUAAUACCCCGCUGUUCUGACGGUACCCAAAGAAUAAGCACCGGCUAACUUCGUG
rnacentral:rRNA from 1 species